rnacentral:rRNA from 1 species
GAUGAACGCUGGCGGCGUGCUUAACACAUGCAAGUCGAACGAGAAGUGGAGACGGAAACCUUCGGGCGGAAGACUUUACUUCGAGUGGCGGACGGGUGAGUAACGCGUGGGUAACCUGCCUCAUACAGGGGGAUAACAGUUGGAAACGACUGUUAAUACCGCAUAAGACCACAGCACCGCAUGGUGCGGGGGUAAAAACUCCGGUGGUAUGAGAUGGACCCGCGUUCGAUUAGCCAGUUGGCGGGGUAACGGCCCACCAAAGCGACGAUCGAUAGCCGAUCUGAGAGGAUGACCGGCCACAUUGGGACUGAGACACGGCCCAAACUCCUACGGGAGGCAGCAGCGGGGAAUAUUGCACAAUGGGGGAAACCCUGAUGCAGCGACGCCGCGUGAGUGAAGAAGUAUUUCGGUAUGCAAAGCUCUAUCAGCAGGGAAGAAAAUGACAGUACCUGAGUAAGAAGCCCCGGCUAACUACGUG